AAGAAGUCAGGCCGUUUUAAGCCAUAGUACGGUAAGAGCUAUGCUGCCUGUGAGCCCCGUCCAAGGACGUAAAAUGAAGUCAGGCCGAAAGCCACGGCUUGAGCAAACCGUGCUGCCUGUGGCUCCAUCGUGGGGAUGUAAAACCCGGGAGGCUGCAACCCAUGGAAGCUGUACGCAUGGGGUAGCAGACUAGUGGUUAGAGGAGACCCCUCCCAAGMUACAACGCAGCAGCGGGGCCCAACACCAGGGGAAGCUGUACCCUGGUGAUAAGGACUAGAGGUUAGAGGAGACCCCCCGCACAACAAUAAACAGCAUAUUGACGCUGGGAG
rnacentral:lncRNA from 1 species